rnacentral:pre_miRNA from 1 species
UGUAAACAUCCUUGACUGGAAGCUGUAAGGGGUUCGAAGGAGCUUUCAGUCGGAUGUUUACA